rnacentral:rRNA from 1 species
GAUGAACGCUGGCGGCGUGCCUAAUACAUGCAAGUCGAGCGAACAGACGAGGAGCUUGCUCCUCUGACGUUAGCGGCGGACGGGUGAGUAACACGUGGAUAACCUACCUAUAAGACUGGGAUAACUUCGGGAAACCGGAGCUAAUACCGGAUAAUAUAUUGAACCGCAUGGUUCAAUAGUGAAAGACGGUUUUGCUGUCACGUAUAGAUGGAUCCGCGCCGCAUUAGCUAGUUGGUAAGGUAACGGCUUACCAAGGCGACGAUGCGUAGCCGACCUGAGAGGGUGAUCGGCCACACUGGAACUGAGACACGGUCCAGACUCCUACGGGAGGCAGCAGUAGGGAAUCUUCCGCAAUGGGCGAAAGCCUGACGGAGCAACGCCGAGUGAGUGAUGAAGGUCUUCGGAUCGUAAAACUCUGUUAUUAGGGAAGAACAAAUGUGUAAGUAACUAUGCACGUCUUGACGGUACCUAAUCAGAAAGCCACGGCUAACUACGUG